AAUGAACGCUGGCGGCAGGCCUAACACAUGCAAGUCGAACGGAUCCUUCGGGAUUAGUGGCGGACGGGUGAGUAACGCGUGGGAACAUACCCUUUGGUAAGGAAUAGCCUCGGGAAACUGGGAGUAAUACCGUAUGUGGUCGAGAGACGAAAGAUUUAUCGCCAAAGGAUUGGCCCGCGUUGGAUUAGGUAGUUGGUGGGGUAAUGGCCUACCAAGCCGACGAUCCAUAGCUGGUUUGAGAGGAUGAUCAGCCACACUGGGACUGAGACACGGCCCAGACUCCUACGGGAGGCAGCAGUUGGGAAUCUUAGACAAUGGGGGAAACCCUGAUCUAGCCAUGCCGCGUGAUCGAUGAAGGCCUUAGGGUUGUAAAGAUCUUUCAGGUGGGAAGAUAAUGACUGUACCACCAGAAGAAGCCCCGGCUAACUCCGUGCCAGCAGCCGCGGUAA
rnacentral:rRNA from 1 species